rnacentral:rRNA from 1 species
AUGGAACAUUUCGUUCUACCUCCGGAAUACAACAAAUUCGAUGAGGAGGGUAACAAGAUUGAGGAAAACAAGGAGAGGAGGAGGCUAGUCAAACAGUUCGCUCUUCAUAAGAUGGCCGACGCAUUCCGGAAAUUCAAGCAAAAUCUAGCCCAUGACUUUGUCAAGCAGAACAAGACUCCGGAUUUCAAAGGACAAUAUGAGAAACUGAAACAUGAUUGGCCAGAAUUUGUGAAGCAAAAGAAAUCGGAGCAGUUCAUUCAAAUAUCGAAAAAAAUAAGGAAAAUGCGGCUAAGAAGGAGUACAAUCAUGUUAUGGGGCCAGGAGGGUAUCGCCUUUGGGAGCCUAGGUGGGAGAAGAUGGAGAACGAGCUGA